AACUACAUCUCCCGGGAGGCCCCGCGGCGGCGCGGCGCGGCAUGGGCGGAGCCAAGGCCCUGAACCCCGCCCCCGGCGCGCCUCCCGGAAGUCUGCGAACGGUUACGGAGCCCCGCGAACCCCUCCGGCGCCUCCUAGCGCUGGAGAGCGCGGGGCGUGGGCUCCGGGGCGCCGCUCACUGGUUCGUUCACACAUUCUCCGGCGUCUCCACCACCGGCUCCGGGCUGCCCGGGAGCGGCUCACCGGCGGCGCGAGCUAGCGCGGAGCCGCAGGAGCCAGGGCCCAGAGGCGGCAGCUAGGCACUCCGCGGGGCUGGCUGCCCAGGCUAGGGCUGAGAUGGGGGUGCCUGGACCCGGCCGGUGGAAAGAAGACCAGCGGAGACGGAGAUACUACAACUUGUAGUCGAUGAGAAUGGUCCAGAGGGAGGAGAGCCACUGAGAAACUGGGCAGGACUGAAUCCAACGCCUGAUGGAAGGCUGGCACCAACUCCAUCAGGAUGGAAGGCAGAAUGCAGAGGCCUGGGUGGGUGCAGCUGGCAGAAUAACAGCCCCCAAAGAUGUCCACGUCCUCAUUCCCAAAACCCACGAGUAUGUUACCUGAUAUGGCAAAAGAGAAUUUGCAAAUCUGGUAAAGGAUUAAGGGCCUUGA